GUCUGGCUGGCUCAGUUGGUAGAGCAUGUGACUUUUGAUCUUGGGUCAUGAGUUCAAGCCCAAUGUUAGGUG
rnacentral:tRNA from 1 species